ACACACACACAUGUACUCCUACAUACAAAUACACCAACACAUACAUACGAGGGAGUGUUGAAAAGUUUGUGGCUGUGGGUAAAAAAAAAUAGAGGAGGAUCAGUUAAUUAUGAUUUUAUUCAACAUAUUCCCCUCUCUGAUUCACUCACAUACUGCAAUAGUCCUUCAGUUUUUCUAAGCCUUGUAAAAGAACUCA